rnacentral:rRNA from 1 species
UGGGGAAUUUUGGACAAUGGGCGCAAGCCUGAUCCAGCAAUGCCGCGUGCAGGAUGAAGGCCUUCGGGUUGUAAACUGCUUUUGUCAGGGAAGAAACGAGUUUCUCUAAUACAGAGACUUAAUGACGGUACCUGAAGAAUAAGCACCGGCUAACUACGUGCCAGCAGCCGCGGUAAUACGUAGGGUGCGAGCGUUAAUCGGAAUUACUGGGCGUAAAGCGUGCGCAGGCGGUUAUGCAAGACAGAUGUGAAAUCCCCGGGCUCAACCUGGGAACUGCAUUUGUGACUGCAUAGCUGGAGUGCGGCAGAGGGGGAUGGAAUUCCGCGUGUAGCAGUGAAAUGCGUAGAUAUGCGGAGGAACACCGAUGGCGAAGGCAAUCCCCUGGACCUGUACUGACGCUCAUGCACGAAAGCGUGGGGAGCAAACA